rnacentral:lncRNA from 1 species
GAUAACUUGAUUUAUUGAUGAUCAAUCCAAAAUUUUGACUGAUCAAUCCUUUGAGCUCUUUGAGGGAAACCCUAAUUCACAGAUGAAACAAAACCAGACAUAUCUUGAUCUUGAGGUUAGCUAUGCAUGAAUGAUGUCUAGGAUGCAAAUGAUUAUGAAAUCUAGGGCUAAAAUUUGGGGUGUGACACAUAAGCGGGUGUGUCACUUGGAACCGCCUAAACCAUAUUCCUAAACCAAUUCCCCAAACCAAAAUCAACUUGAAACUAAAAAAAGAACAUUUAAGAAACCGUUACUAAAUUUGACAAGUCAAAAAGAGAAGAAACUUAGUUCAAUCAUUUCACCGAGCACUUGGCAUGCAAGUUACGGAAAUACACAACAUAACCACAAAUCAAUUUGAAACCUGAACCGAAAUGUGCCAAGAACCGAAGUCAAACCACAAAUGCACACCAAUCCAAAAAUUGAACCGAAACCGUAACUCAAAUUCGAAACUGAAAUGCUUUAGUAAACCACAGCUGAAGUUGGCCUGAAUAUGCCUCUGUUUCUCGUUAAUUUCCAAGGACCAAGGCUCUUCAUGUUGGUGUUUUUCAGUCCAAGGCAAUUGCAGGAGAUUUUCCAUGGGAAAUCACUUCAAUUGGGUCAAAUAUCACUAGAAAAUGUGAGGCUCUUGCAGUACUUGGUCUUAUCGGUUAUGUAAUUGCUCCAACGGACAUGUUGAAUCGUAGAAUUCAUGGAGCAUAUGAAUAAAAAAAGCAUUUUAAUUAACCAUUAGUCUAGGAUAAUAUAUAAUAUAGUAGCCUUAGUGUUAGGUAGUAUAAAACAUUGACUUUUCUUUUUUGAUAUUUUGGUUUUAGUUAGAAAAUUAUACUUCAGUUUUUCUCUUUUUAAUACAUCAUAAGCUUAGUUUAGAAACUUG